CUACGGGAGGCACCAGUGAGGAAUAUUGCACAAUGGGGGGAACCCUGAUGCAGCAACGCCGCGUGGAGGAUGAUGCAUUUCGGUGUGUAAACUCCUUUUAUAUGUCAAGAAAAUGACGGUAGCAUAUGAAUAAGCACCGGCUAACUCCGUGCCAGCAGCCUGCGGUAAUACGGAGGGUGCAAGCGUUACUCGGAAUCACUGGGCGUAAAGGACGCGUAGGCGGGUUGGAAAGUCAGGUGUGAAAUCCUACAGCUUAACUGUAGAACUGCACUUGAAACUUCUAAUCUAGAGUAUGGGAGGGGGAGAUGGAAUUAGUGGUGUAGGGGUAAUAUCCGUAGAUAUCACUAGGAAUACCUAAAGCGAAGGCGAUCUCCUGGAACAUUACUGACGCUAAGGCGUGAAAGCGUGGGGAGCAAACAGGAUUAGAUACCCUAGUAGUC
rnacentral:rRNA from 1 species